rnacentral:rRNA from 1 species
UACUGAGUGNUACAACUCCCAACCCUUUGUGAACUUACCAUUGUUGCUUCGGCGGCUGCUACGUGGCCGCCGGAGGACCCAAACUCUUGCUUGAUCAGUGGUUUUCUCUCUGAGUGGCAUAAGCAAAAUAAAAUUAAAACUUUCAACAACGGAUCUCUUGGUUCUGGCAUCGAUGAAGAACGCAGCGAAAUGCGAUAAGUAAUGUGAAUUGCAGAAUUCAGUGAAUCAUCGAAUCUUUGAACGCACAUUGCGCCCGCCAGUAUUCUGGCGGGCAUGCCUGUUCGAGCGUCAUUUCAACCCUCAAGCCCCUCCGGGCUUGGCGUUGGGGAUCGGCCUCCGCUCCGGCGGCCGGCCCCGAAAUCGAGUGGCGGUCCCGCCGCGGCUUCCUCUGCGUAGUAAAACACCUCGCACUGGGACGCGGCGCGGCCACGCCGUAAAUCAGACGAAUCUUUCUGAAGGUUGACCUCGGAUCAGGUAGGAAUACCCGCUGAACUUAAGCAUAUCAAUAAGCGGAGGAAAAGAAACCAACAGGGAUUGCCCCAGUAACGGCGAGUGAAGCGGCAACAGCUCAAAUUUGAAAUCUGGCCCCAGGCCCGAGUUGUAAUUUGCAGAGGAUGCUUUUGGCGCGGUGCCUUCCGAGUUCCCUGGAACGGGACGCCAUAGAGGGUGAGAGCCCCGUCUGGUCGGACACCUAGCCUCUGUAAAGCUCCUUCGACGAGUCGAGUAGUUUGNGAAUGCUGCUCUAAAUGGGAGGUAUAUGUCUUCUAAAGCUAAAUACUCGGCCAGAGANCNGAUAGCGCACAAGUAGAGUGAUCGAAAGAUGAAAAGCACUUUGAAAAGAGGGUUAAACAGUACGUGAAAUUGUUGAAAGGGNAAGCGCUUAUGA